GACGAACGCUGGCGGCGUGCCUAAUACAUGCAAGUCGAGCGGGGUCUUCGGACCUAGCGGCGAACGGGUGAGUAACACGUGGGUAACCUGCCCUCAAGACUGGGAUAACACCGGGAAACCGAUGCUAAUACCAGAAAUCAAUCUUUCCGCCUGGCAAGGAUGUAAAAGGCUUGAUACCUGAGGAUGGGCCCGCGGCGCAUUAGCUUGUUGGUGGGGUAAAGGACUACCAAGGCGACGAUGCGUAGCCGACCUGAGAGGGUGACCGGCCACACUGGGACUGAGACACGGCCCAGACUCCUACGGGAGGCAGCAGUAGGGAAUUUUCCGCAAUGGGCGAAAGCCUGACGGAGCAACGCCGCGUGAGUGAUGACGGUUUUCGGAUUGUAAAACUCUGUUCUUGGGGAAGAACAAAUGACGGUACCCAAGGAGAAAGCCCCGGCUAACUACGUGCCAGCAGCCGCAGUAA
rnacentral:rRNA from 1 species